UCAAAUUUCAACCCAAUAACCUGUUAAACAUUGCUUUGGAUGAUGUGUAACUUUUUAAAACAUUUUAAAACAACCUGCCCUCAAAACCUCUUUCCUGCUGCUCACAUUUCAACAUAAUAUGCUCUUGCAGUUCUUGGUAAUGCUAUUUGGAAAUCGUCAUGGGUACAGGGUAUUAUUUAUGAAAUUUUGCACAUGUUUGUCUGCAUUUAUGUAAGUCAUGAUAUAAUAUGUGACAACAAAUCACAGUUUCAAGUGGCAGUCAUCAUUAAACAAGCACAUCAUAACAUAGUAGAUUCUUGCUAUGUGAACAUGCCCAAGUUUGUGUGCAACUACAUACUUGUUUCCUUCUGUGGAUGUG
rnacentral:misc_RNA from 1 species